AAGCGAAAGCGAGUGUGACAAGCGCGAAUUAGUCGCAAGCAAUAGACCCGAAGCGGAGGUGAUCUAGCCAUGGCCAGGUUGAAGCUUAGGUAACACUAAGUGGAGGACCGAACCGGUGUACGUUGAAAAGUGCUCGGAUGAGCUGUGGCUGGGAGUGAAAGGCUAAUCAAACCCCGUGAUAGCUGGUUCUCUCCGAAAUAGCUUUAGGGCUAGCGUCAGGCAAGGAUUCGAGGGGUAGAGCACUGAAUGGCUUAGGGCCCAUACCCGGGUACCAAAACCAAUUAAACUCCGAAUACUCGAACUCCGUACUGGCAGUCAGACUAUGGGUGAUAACAUUCAUGGUCGAAAGGGAAACAACCCAGAUCGCCGGCUAAGGUGCCCAAACUGGAUUAAGUGGAAAGGAUGUGGAAUUGCAUAGACAGUGAGGAUGUUGGCUUAGAAGCAGCCACCAUUUAAACAUAGCGUAACAGCUGACUCAUCGAGCGAUUCUGCGCCGAAAAUGAUUGGCGAUUAAAUCCAGUACCGAAGCCGCGGACGUGUUUUACACGUGGUAGGAGAGCGUCGUCUAUGCGCUGAAGCUGAACUGUAAGGGACAGUGGAGCGUAGACGAGUGAGGAUGCAGACAUGAGUAGCGAUAAAACAGGUGAGAAUCCUGUUCGCCGUAAACCCAAGGUUUCCCAUAGCCACGCUCGUCGGCUUGGGGUUAGUCGGGUCCUAAGGUGAGGCCGUAAGGCGUAAUCGAUGGACAGCAGGUUAAUAUUCCUGCACCGGCGGGUAUUUAGUGUGUGAGUGCGCGGAGAAGGAAGAUGCAUACAUAACGUUAUGGAAGAGGCUUAGUCCACGAGGCGAAGCCCGCAUUGGAAAUCUCUGCCUAGAAAAGCUCAUACACAUUCUAUGCCUGUCGCCCGUACCGUAAACCGCCACAGGUAGGAGGGUGUAAAUGUACCAAGGCGCGCGAGAGAAACCUCUUUAAGGAACUCUGCAAAUUAGCCCCGUAACUUCGGAAGAAGGGGUGCCAUCUUCGGAUGGCCACAGUAAAGGGUGACUGGCGACUGUUUACCAAAAACACAGCUCUCUGCUAAGAUGUUAAGUCUACGUAUAGGGAGUGACACGUGACCAAUGCCGAAAGAUCAAGGCUGUUCUGUUAACGCAGGGCACCCAAGUCCCGGUGAAUGUCGGCCGUAACUAUAACGGUCCUAAGGUAGCGAAAUUCCUUGUCGGGUAAGUUCCGACCUGCACGAAUCGUGUAACGACCGGUCAACUGUCUCAAAGAGGAUCUCGGCGAAGUUGUAAUGGCGGUGAAGAUGCCGCCUACCCGCGGUAGGACGGAAAGACCCUAUGCACCUUUACUGUAAGCUGGUAUUGGGUUCUGGACU
rnacentral:rRNA from 1 species